rnacentral:ncRNA from 1 species
AGAAGCUGAUGUGUGUGAGAUUACCCGCUGAAUUUAAGCAUAUAAGUAAGCGGAGGAAAAGAAACUAACUAGGAUUCCUUAGUAAUGGCGAAUGAACAGGGAUCAGCUCAGUGCCAAAUCGGAAUCACUUGUGGUUCUGAAAUGUGGCUUGAAGGCAGUACCAGUGGCAUCGCGGACGAAAGUCUCUUGGAAAAGAGCGUCAUAGAGGGUGAGAAUCCCGUGAGUCGUUCGCCGUUUGUCACGUACGGUCUGCGUUCUAACGAGUCGCGUUCCUUGGGAUUGGAGCGUAAACGGGUGGUAAAUUUCAUCCAAAGCAAAAUAUAUACUCGAGACCGAUAGCACAAAAGUACCGUGAGGGAAAGGUGAAAAGAACUUUGAGAAGAGGGUUAAAUAGUGCCUGAAAUCGUUGAGAAGGAAGCGGAUGCCGCCGUUGCAUAUGCUGAUUGUAGGAUUGCUGCUCGCUCCUGUCUUCUGCUACUCAUUCACAGACCUGGUCGUGUUGAGCAGUUGUUUGGCAGAUGGCAGAUGUUAGUGGUGUUUCCUACUCUCAGUCGUCAGCAUCACUGGCUGAGUGGAAAUAAUCCUUGGAUGCUAAUUGGUUCGCUAUCUGUGAAUUGGUUGCUUCCUUGCGAUACUCACUACUCGGUCAGUGAGGAAGUGCGUUUGCUGGUCAACGAGCUUUCUAACUGUCAUUACCCUGCGCUUUUCGAUUCGUCGAGUGGCCAGGAUGUGGCUUUGAGAUUGUUCGCACUUAGUAAUCGCGAUGCUGGCUUCCAACGGUUGCCUCCGGCCCGUCUUGAAACACGGACCAAGGAGUCUAACGUAUGUGCGAGUGUGUGAGUGGCAAACUUAUACGCGUAAUGAAAGUGAGGCCGUAUGGCCAUGUUGGGGUCACCAACAACCGACCUUGAUCUUCGGUGAAAGGUUUGAGUAUGAGCAUAUCCGUUAGGACCCGAAAGAUGGUGAACUAUGCCUGAGCAGGGUGAAGCCAGGGGAAACUCUGGUGGAGGCUCGUAGCGAUACUGACGUGCAAAUCGUUCGUCAGACUUG